ensembl:lncRNA
AUUAUAAUUAAUUCUGCUUUGUACAGUUGUAGAAGUGUACAUCUUUUGAGCUGUCUUUUAUUUUAGGGCAUACCUAUACAAGAAGAUAAGAAGAAGAGAAAGCAGCAAAAUGUGAUAUUAAGUCCACAAGCAGGUAGUUUAACCUGCCGAAAUUCGGGUCGCUCUGGUCAGAGGAAGAGCCCAGUGGAAUGAGAAGUGAAUAAAAAGGAAAAAAAAAGAAAAAAAACUACCAGAUUCUACUUUUGUCCAGGCAGACAGCAACCCAAAGUCCAGAAACCCUUAAAUCUGAAUGGUACUGUUGGGCCAAUAGUAGCCCGUUCAAAGCCAAAGCCAGGACAUCUUGACUUGAAGCCAAAUAGGGCCUUUUUAUUGUUGUGGGUUUUGUUUUUGGGUUGUUUUUUUUUUUUCUCCCCCCAAAACGCUCCUCCUGAGAGGGGUUUUUUUUUUUUUUUUUUUUUAAAGCUUUCAUUUAAAGAAAAUAAGCAAGUAAGCAUGCAUGUGAUGCAUGUGAUGUCUUAAAAUACUUUGCCAGUCAAGAGGUUUUCCCUUGUUUUGUUUUUUUGUUUGGUUUUUUGUAUAUAUAAAAUUUUUACAUUUAAAGCAAUAUUACUGCAAAUUUGGUGUAAAAUCUCUUAAAAUUGGAAUGUAAAUAACUGUCUCCUAGACGACUAAUAGCUUAGAUCCCAGUAGGGUAUCUUUUGACAUCAUACUGUAUCUUUAAUGCUAAAUUUUAUUUUUAAUUGUUUUGGUGGACACUUGAAGGUUCAACCGUCCUUUAAUUUGGUAGACCAGCGUUUAUAAACACUGUUACCGCUGUGAGUCAGAUUGAAAUGAUAAACUGAUUAUGAUAUUAGUCUGCUACUCAACAUCAAAACGUCAAGGCUAUUUCACAUUAAACCAAAAAGGUUUCAAUUCAUAUGCGUUCUUUUUUUUUUUUUUUUUUUUUUUUUCCCUUAAGUGUUGUUUUAGAGAUUUGGGGAAAAGAUGUUUCUUAAUGGCAGUAUACCUUUUUAAUGGCCUGGAUCUGUAUUUUUUAUUUUAUUUUUAAUUAUAAAAUCAUGUGUUUGUCCUCUGCACUGAUGACCAUCUGUCCAUGUCUCUGGUGUUCUUGAAGACAGAACUACCUGCAAGGUGUCUCCAUGUUUGUGUGCCUUUUUGUUAGAGAAACCACCAUGUAGAUAUGUUUCUCAGGAUCACAGUUUUAUUCCUAGACUGCUGGUCCACUCAAGCUUCAUGGAUACAUAGUGCUCUAAAACUGCCUGCAGAUGUUAGUAGAGGGAAGGUAAAAGCUCAUUACCUCUCAAUUUUCUAUAUGUCUUCACACUGCUAGGAUGUGUUGUAACGAUGGUAGAGGAUCACAUGCUUGAGGGAAGUUGGGUAAAAAAAAAACUUCCUGUGCAGACUCUUAAAAUUGAUAUUUUAAAAAGGAAGAAGGGGAAAAAAAUGAAAAGCUGUUCUGGCUGGCUGCACACACUGCGCUCCAACUAGAGGUAAUCUCAGUUAGUUCAUUGGAGAGCGAAAUGUAUUUAUUUGCCACAAAGGCUUCAUUUCAUUGUAAUGUUGCCACAGAUUGGUAGCUGCACUGUGGGGUGGGUGGGUGUCCAGCCCCUUGGAUUAUGUUGCUGCUAAUGUCUCAAAGGCCUGCUUAUAAUUCAACUUAUGUAGGGUGUCUGGCUUUAUUAUAUCUUACUCUUACUGAUUUUUAUAAUAAAAAUAAAUGUUGGUAUUGUAAUCAUAUUUCUUAUUUUAAAGGAUGUGUGCUUUAAUUGCUUUAAUACCAGCUGUAUUUUUAUUUUUACUAGGAUUAAAUGGAGGAUUUAAUUUGGUGUCAGGGACCCCUGAUUGUGUUAGGAAAGGUUUGCUCAUUGUCCAGUUUGUCUCAAAGAAUUAAACUGAAGUCAAAUUCCAGUGUGCUUUUUUUUAAAAUGUAUUUUUUUUUUUAUUUAUCCCCCCCCUCCCCUUUCCUCCUCAAAAUAUUUAAAGUAUAUGAAGCAGUAAUGCCAGGAGUCUUCAAAAUGUGUUAGAUCAUAUACUGCAAAUCCUGCAGGUGUCACCAAAGCUGAAAUAGUUUAAAACGAUGAAAGAAUUUCCCUUUUUUCCCUUUUUGUGUAGUACCAC